rnacentral:rRNA from 1 species
AGAGUUUGAUCCUGGCUCAGGAUGAACGCUGGCGGUAUGCUUAACACAUGCAAGUCGAACGGACUCUUCGGAGUUAGUGGCGGACGGGUGAGUAACGCGUGAGAAUUUGGCUUCAGGUCGGGGACAACAGUUGGAAACGACUGCUAAUACCGGAUGUGCCGAAAGGUGAAAGAUUUAUCGCCUGAAGAUAAGCUCGCGUCUGAUUAGCUAGUUGGUGGUGUAAGGGACUACCAAGGCGACGAUCAGUAGCUGGUCUGAGAGGAUGAUCAGCCACACUGGGACUGAGACACGGCCCAGACUCCUACGGGAGGCAGCAGUGGGGAAUUUUCCGCAAUGGGCGAAAGCCUGACGGAGCAAUACCGCGUGAGGGAGGAAGGCUCUUGGGUCGUAAACCUCUUUUCUCAAGGAAGAAGAAAGUGACGGUACUUGAGGAAUAAGCAUCGGCUAACUCCGUGCCAGCAGCCGCGGUAAUACGGAGGAUGCAAGCGUUAUCCGGAAUGAUUGGGCGUAAAGGGUCUGUAGGUGGUACUGAAAGUCUGCUGUUAAAGAGCAAGGCUUAACCUUGUAAGAGCAGUGGAAACUACAGAACUAGAGUGCGGUAGGGGCAAAAGGAAUUCCUGGUGUAGCGGUGAAAUGCGUAGAUAUCAGGAAGAACACCGGUGGCGAAAGCGUUUUGCUAGACCGCAACUGACACUGAGGGACGAAAGCUAGGGGAGCGAAUGGGAUUAGAUACCCCAGUAGUC